rnacentral:lncRNA from 1 species
AGAUAGUUGUAUGCCCUGUAUACGCUGGUUUAGUGUAAGGCAACAAACACUGUCGACGGAUGAUGACGUCAUAGAUGCAUGUACUGCGCAUGUGCGAGCCGGUAAACUAAGGAAAUAAAGCAUGGCGACUGCGACUGAGACUCGGGUGGAUUAUUAGUGUUAAUAUGAAAGAGAAACACUACAAUGGCGACGAGGAUGGGUGUAGCUUGUGCUGAACACCAAGACAAAGUUUCAAGACGGAAAUAAAGAUCCCGAAAGAAAGAUAAAAGUACUGGACUUUAAGGAGUGCAUCAGAAAGUCAUCAUUUCACCAGAAAAGAGGUGUACGUAGGAAAUUUUCGGCGCCAUAAGAUGGCCAGCCCUACUUAUGGAAUCACAGGUGUUUGCUGAAAAUAACCAAAUAACCUCUUCACCUUGUUCAGAGAGAAGUCCACCGAAAUGUGUCAGGAUAGCUGAGGAGCUGGCCAGAUUGAUUAAGAUUUAUGAUCUCCAGGAACGUGAUGUUAAUUUGAGACGGCCACGUGUCCUCCUUGCACUUCCGGUUUAUUUGCAUGAAGAUGCCUCCAACUUCGUCAAGACCUGCACUUGGUUGGAACUGCCGAAAACCAACGAAUCGGUGCUCGCUGCUGAUGCACGCGCUCAGCCGCCAGAGGGUCCACCGCCCACCGAGGCGGCCGCUCUGCUUCCAGCGGACGAGAGGGUCUGCUGCUGCGACGGCAGUUUCCAGAUGGUCCAGACCUCUCAGACACUGUUGUGGCUCUCCUAUCAGCCGUCUUGGGUGAUACUCCUGAUGCUGCCAUCUUCUGCCCUGAGAGCAUCUUUAUCAUCGUGGAGAAUGAAACACUCGUCAGUUGUCCCACAAAUCUGGCUGACUCUCUUACUUUUUGGGUAUGUCUAUGCUCUGGACCUACAGUACCCCCAAAAAAUGGAGCUUGCAAUGACAUUUAUUCAGAAAGUGGUGAUGUGCCUUGAGGACAACAAACCACUGAAAGGGACCCAUGUGUAUAUAUAUAUAUAUAUAUAUAUAUAUAUAAUAUACAAUCUUGUGUUUUAUUUCAAACAAGCACUUUAUUUUGACUGAGCUCUUAAAAUGU